AUCACCGAUCUACUAGAUCGCCUAACCCUGCAGGAGGAUGAACUUGAUGAUUUGGUUUGGGAAGAUGAGAUUGGCACAGAGGAGGUUAGACCAAAGUGGCUUGCGAUUGGACGUAUACUGACGACCAAAACGUUUAGUCAGAGCGCCCUAAUUGGUGACAUGCGUGCAGCAUGGGAUUCGGCAAAUCAAGUAGUUUGGAGGAGGAUAAACCCUAACCUCUUUUCUAUCCAAUUCAACUGCUUGGGUGAUUAG
rnacentral:rRNA from 1 species